UACCUACGGGGGGCAGCAGUGGGGAAUAUUGGACAAUGGGGGGAACCCUGAUCCAGCAAUGCCGCGUGUGUGAAGAAGGCCUGAGGGUUGUAAAGCACUUUCAGUGGGGAGGAGGGAUGAUAGGUUAAGAGCUAAUUAUCUGGACGUUACCCACAGAAGAAGCACCGGCUAACUCCGUGCCAGCAGCCGCGGUAAUACGGAGGGUGCGAGCGUUAAUCGGAAUUACUGGGCGUAAAGGGUGCGUAGGUGGUUUAGUAAGUUAUCUGUGAAAUUCCUGGGCUCAACCUAGGGUGGUCAGAUAAGACUGCUGGACUAAGAGUAUAGGAGAGGGUAGUGGAAUUUCCGGUGUAGCGGUGAAAUGCGUAGAGAUCGGAAGGAACACCAGUGGCGAAGGCGGCUACCUGGCCUAAUACUGACACUGAGGCACGAAAGCGUGGGGAGCAAACAGGAUUAGAUACCCGGGUAGUCAA
rnacentral:rRNA from 1 species